rnacentral:rRNA from 1 species
CAGUAGCCGCGGGAAUACGGGGGGUGCAAGCGUUAUUCGGAUUGAUUGGGUGUAAAGGGUGUGCAGACGGCUUAUUAAGUCACUUGUUAAAUUCUUCGGCCUAACUGAAGGUCUGCAAGUGAUACUGAUGAGCUAGAGGGUGGAAGAGAGAAGUGGAAUUCUCGGAGUAGCGGUAAAAUGCGUAGAUCUCGAGAGGAACACCAAUGGCGAAGGCAGCUUCUUGGUCCAUUCCUGACGUUCAUACACGAAAGCGUGGGGAGCAAACAGGAUUAGAUACCCCCGUAGUCCCUGUCUCUUAUAC